CACGACGUGGUGAACUUUUAAAAACGGAUUCAGUAGUACCAAAAUACUCAUAAUGUGCAGACAGACAAAAGAACUGGAAGGAGUCGUGUUUUCAGACACAGGAAGCUUUUCACGUGCUCCACCUGGACCUCAUCUCUCAGCCUCACACUCCGAUCUUCAGCAGCCCCCGCUAUGCGCCCGAGUCUUGGGACGUCAUCCCGGAGCUCCUAGCCUGCCCGGGAGGCAGAGCCAUCAGAUUCUCCUCUUGGCCCCUUAUCCCAACUAAACACAUCACCACUGAGGACCUGUCCAGGGGUUUAGCUCCUGAUGAAGAGACAGAGAAAAGGUCAGAGAAAGGAAGGGUGACGCUCCAUCCAAGAUGACUACAGCGCUAUGAUUUCCAGAUGGGGAAGGUCACGGAUGCUGGACGCAACAGAAUCUCAACAGGGACCCGAGAGAGAGAGGCUCCUCUCUCCCUACACUAAUAUCCCACGAUCCCUGUGUCACUUUCCAGAACACACUGUCAGUUCCAUGGACCUAGGAUUAUAAAAUCCUGUAAGAUUUAUACAGAAAAUAUAAAAAUCUGGGGAGGGGGAACUGUGAAACAAUGUGAAAAAAACUAUUUGUCAAAUGGACAGUGGGGAAUAACUUCUCCUCCCGCACCUCCUCCAAGCUUCUAACAACACUCAUGGCACACAAUACAGAGGAGACUGCCAUAAAAAUGACUUAAAAUGUGCCCUUUUGAGGUAAAGUAACUAUGGGACAAGUGACUAUAAAAAUGACACAGCUGGGGAGAUCCAAAUCUAUUCCUGCUCAGCAAGUUUCCAGAUUAAAAUGUGUCUGCUUACCUAGUCAAAAAAAAAAA
rnacentral:lncRNA from 1 species